rnacentral:rRNA from 1 species
UACGUAGGGUGCGAGCGUUGUCCGGAAUUAUUGGGCGUAAAGGGCUCGUAGGCGGUUUGUCGCGUCGACUGUGAAAACCUGGGGCUUAACUCUGGGCCUGCAGUCGAUACGGGCAGACUUGAGUUCGGUAGGGGAGACUGGAAUUCCUGGUGUAGCGGUGAAAUGCGCAGAUAUCAGGAGGAACACCAAUUGCGAAGGCAGCUCGCUGGGACGUAACUGACGCUGAGACGCGAAAGCGUGGGGAGCAAACAGG